rnacentral:rRNA from 1 species
CUUGGGUGACGAGUGGCGGACGGGUGAGUAAUGUCUGGGGAUCUGCCCGAUAGAGGGGGAUAACCACUGGAAACGGUGGCUAAUACCGCAUAACGUCGCAAGACCAAAGAGGGGGACCUUCGGGCCUCUCACUAUCGGAUGAACCCAGAUGGGAUUAGCUAGUAGGCGGGGUAAUGGCCCACCUAGGCGACGAUCCCUAGCUGGUCUGAGAGGAUGACCAGCCACACUGGAACUGAGACACGGUCCAGACUCCUACGGGAGGCAGCAGUGGGGAAUAUUGCACAAUGGGCGCAAGCCUGAUGCAGCCAUGCCGCGUGUAUGAAGAAGGCCUUCGGGUUGUAAAGUACUUUCAGCGGGGAGGAAGGCGACGGGGUUAAUAACCCUGUCGAUUGACGUUACCCGCAGAAGAAGCACCGGCUAACUCCGUGCCAGCAGCCGCGGUAAUACGGAGGGUGCAAGCGUUAAUCGGAAUUACUGGGCGUAAAGCGCACGCAGGCGGUCUGUUAAGUCAGAUGUGAAAUCCCCGGGCUUAACCUGGGAACUGCAUUUGAAACUGGCAGGCUUGAGUCUUGUAGAGGGGGGUAGAAUUCCAGGUGUAGCGGUGAAAUGCGUAGAGAUCUGGAGGAAUACCGGUGGCGAAGGCGGCCCCCUGGACAAAGACUGACGCUCAGGUGCGAAAGCGUGGGGAGCAAACAGGAUU